rnacentral:sRNA from 1 species
CGCCAGGCGGCGCCGUCGGCUGGGCCCGGAUUCCCCUGCGGCUUCGAUCCCUUUCCACUGGGUAUUGAGAUUGGCGAGGGGAGAGGCGCAGAAACGGCCUGAUGCAGAAAGCCUCAGUGUUGCUCUUCCUGGCCUGGGUCUGCUUCCUCUUCUACGCUGGCAUUGCCCUCUUCACCAGUGGCUUCCUGCUCACCCGUUUGGAGCUCACCAACCAUAGCAGCUGCCAAGAGCCCCCAGGCCCUGGGUCCCUGCCAUGGGGGAGCCAAGGGAAACCUGGGGCCUGCUGGAUGGCUUCCCGAUUUUCGCGGGUUGUGUUGGUGCUGAUAGAUGCUCUGCGAUUUGACUUCGCCCAGCCCCAGCACUCACACGUGCCUGGAGAGCCUCCUGUCUCCCUACCCUUCCUGGGCAAACUAAGCUCCUUGCAGAGGAUCCUGGAGAUUCAGCCCCACCAUGCCCGGCUCUACCGAUCUCAGGUUGACCCUCCUACCACCACCAUGCAGCGCCUCAAGGCCCUCACCACUGGCUCACUGCCUACCUUUAUUGAUGCUGGUAGUAACUUUGCCAGCCACGCCAUAGUGGAAGACAAUCUCAUUAAGCAGCUUACCAGUGCAGGAAGGCGUGUAGUCUUCAUGGGAGAUGAUACCUGGAAAGACCUUUUCCCUGGUGCUUUCUCCAAAGCUUUCUUCUUCCCAUCCUUCAAUGUCAGAGACCUAGACACAGUGGACAAUGGCAUCCUGGAACACCUCUACCCCACCAGUGA